AUCAGGUAGGGAUACCCGCUGAACUUAAGCAUAUCAAUAAGCGGAGGAAAAGAAACCAACAGGGAUUGCCCUAGUAACGGCGAGUGAAGCGGCAACAGCUCAAAUUUGAAAUCUGGCUCUUUUAGAGUCCGAGUUGUAAUUUGCAGAGGGCGCUUUGGCUUUGGCAGCGGUCCAAGUUCCUUGGAACAGGACGUCACAGAGGUGUGAGAAUCCCGUACGUGGUCGCUGGCUAUUGCCGUGUAAAGCCCCUUCGACGAGUCGAGUUGUUUGGGAAUGCAGCUCUAAAUGGGAGGUACAUUUCUUCUAAAGCUAAAUAUUGGCCAGAGACCUGAUAGCGCACAAGUAGAGUGAUCGAAAGAUGAAAAGCACUUUGGAAAGAGAGUCAAACAGCACGUGAAAUUGUUGAAAGGGAAGCGCUUGCAGCCAGACUUGCUUACAGUUGCUCAUCCGGGUUUUUACCUCGGUGCACUCUUCUGUAGGCAGGCCAGCAUCAGUUUGGGCGGUA
rnacentral:rRNA from 1 species